GCGGCAGGCCUAACACAUGCAAGUCGAACGCUGUAGCAAUACAGAGUGGCAGACGGGUGAGUAACGCGUGGGAACAUGCCCUUCGGUUCGGAAUAACUCAGGGAAACUUGAGCUAAUACCGGAUACGCCCUUAGGGGGAAAGAUUUAUUGCCGAAGGAUUGGCCCGCGUCCGAUUAGCUAGUUGGUGAGGUAAUGGCUCACCAAGGCGACGAUCGGUAGCUGGUCUGAGAGGAUGAUCAGCCACACUGGGACUGAGACACGGCCCAGACUCCUACGGGAGGCAGCAGUGGGGAAUAUUGGACAAUGGGCGCAAGCCUGAUCCAGCCAUGCCGCGUGAGUGAUGAAGGCCCUAAGGUUGUAAAGCUCUUUCGCCAGGGACGAUAAUGACNGUACCUGGGAUAAAAACCCNGGUNANUUUCUGCCA
rnacentral:rRNA from 1 species